GCCUUUCCCAUGGGAAAACCCAACGUGGGAGCCACAACCCACAAAGGCUUUUCCAGAAGGGGAUCCAAAGCUGGAUCUUGCUUCUCAUGAGGAACCUGCUCCAGUGUAAGGUGCCCCUGAAAGGCUGGAACUGGAGGAGCUUUAACCCAUUCCAUGGUUCUAUGCUUGGAGCAUCCCAAUGCGAUGAAGCCUGAUGGGGAUUGCACCAUGACCAUGCUGAGGCUGAAGGUGUGAGUGAGCAGAGCCCCGUGCUCGGCUCUCGGAUGCAUCACGUCAUUUCCCAGCUUUCAUAGACGGAAGUAAAACUUGGACAUGAAGGAAUUCCAGCUGGGAAAUAAGGCUCUUCCCUUAACAAUGCCCUGUGCCUGCGCAGAUGACAGCAGCAUUCCUUCGGAAGUCUCCGGAGCAGACAUUGUUCCCUGUUUCCAGUGCAGGAGAUGAGAAGAUGGAUGAAGGAAACCUAAACCCCUCCAUUCCCUCAUGGCACCAGCUGCCGUGGGCUUCCCAGUGCUCCCGAGAGUCGUCUCCGCUGCCGAAUUCCCAAACUUCCUGACAGCAGCCCCGGCCCUGCCUCCGCUUCCGACGCCACCAGCGCCGGCCCCACGGCACCGUGGCCUCCGGCCAGGAUGGUGCUGCAGGCUGCGGUGCUGGCGCUGCACCUCUGCCUCCUGUCCGCGCUCCGGCCCAGCGACCCCAACGUCUGCAGCUACUGGGAGAGGUAGGACUGGGGGCACUGGGGG
rnacentral:lncRNA from 14 species